GACGAAGGAUGCAAGCGUUAUCCGGAUUCAUUGGGUUUAAAGGGAGCGUAGGUGGCCUUAUAAGUCAGUGGUGAAAUCUCUCGGCUUAACCGAGAAAUUGCCAUUGAUACGGUAGGGCUUGAGUAUAGUUGCCGUUGGCGGAAUAUGACAUGUAGUGGUGAAAUACAUAGAGAUGUCAUAGAACACCGAUUGCGAAGGCAGCUGACGAAACUAUAACUGACACUGAGGCUCGAAAGUGCGGGGAUCAAACAGG
rnacentral:rRNA from 1 species